UACGUAGGUGGCAAGCGUUGUCCGGAUUUACUGGGCGUAAAGGGCGCGUAGGCGGCUAGAUGUGUCAAAGGUGAAAUCCCUCGGCUCAACUGAGGAACUGCCUUUGAAACUGUCUGGCUUGAGGCCGGGAGAGGGUAGCGGAAUUCCCAGUGUAGCGGUGAAAUGCGUAGAUAUUGGGAGGAACACCAGUGGCGAAGGCGGCUACCUGGACCGGUUCUGACGCUGAGGCGCGAAAGCGUGGGUAGCAAACAGG
rnacentral:rRNA from 1 species